CGAUAAGCUACGGAGAGGUGCAAGCAACCUGUGACCCGUAGAUUUCCGAAUGGGGGAACCCGGCAGUGGUUAUGCACUGUCACCCAUACCUUUGAGUAUGAGGAGGGCACCUGGGGAACUGAAACAUCUAAUUACCCGGAGGAAAAGUAAUCAAACGAGAUUUUCUUAGUAGCGGCGAGCGAACGGGAAAGAGGCCAAACCGGAGCGGGCAACCGCACCGGGGUUGAGGACAGUCAUCAAGUGUAAAUGAGGUAGAAGAAUCGAGCUGGAAAGCUCAGCCGCAGAAGGUGAAAGCCCUGUAAUCGAAACCUUGCAUACACGGGACUGUAUCCAGAGUACCACGAGACACGUGAAACCUUGUGGGAAGCAGGGGGGACCACCCUCCAAGCCAAAAUACUGAUAUCGACCGAUAGCGCAUAGUACCGUGAGGGAAAGGUGAAAAGAACCCCUGGCGGGGAGUGAAAGAGAACCUGAAACCGUAUGUCUACAAACAGUCGAAGUCUGUAUAUAUAUCAGGACGACGGCGUGCCUAUUGAAGAAUGAACCGACGAGUUACUGUUGCUAGCGAGGUUAAGUGGAAAACAUGGAGCCGCAGCGAAAGCGAGUCUGAACAGGGCGUUCAGUUAGUAAUAGUAGACCCGAAACCGUAGUGAUCUAUCCAUGGCCAGGUUGAAGCACAGGUAAAAUUGUGUGGAGGACCGAACUCGUGAGCGUUGAAAAGCUUUGGGAUGAGUUGUGGAUAGGGGUGAAAUGCCAAUCGAACACGGAGAUAGCUGGUUCUCCCCGAAAUAGCUUUAGGGCUAGCCUCGAGGUAGAGAGUAUAGGCGGUAGAGCACUGAUCGGGCUAGGGGCCAUACCGGUUACCGAACCUAGUCAAACUACGAAUGGCUAUACUUAUACUCGGGAGUCAGACAGUGAAUGAUAAGGUCCAUUGUCAAGAGGGAAACAGCCCAGAACACCGACUAAGGUCCCCAAUGUUACACUAAGUGGCGAAGGAUGUGGAAUUUCCAAAACAACCAGGAUGUUGGCUUAGAAGCAGCCACCAUUUAAAGAGUGCGUAAUAGCUCACUGGUCGAGAGACUCUGCGCCGAAAAUGUCCGGGGCUAAAGUGUAAAACCGAAGUCGUGUCAUAUGCAGCAAUGUAUAUGGGUAGGGGAGCGUUCUCAUCGGGCUGAAGCAGUACCGUAAGGAGUUGUGGACUGAUGAGAAGUGAGAAUGUCGGUAUGAGUAGCGAAAAGAAUGGUGAGAAUCCAUUCCACCGAAAGCCUAAGGGUUCCUGAGCAACGAUCGUCGUCUCAGGGUAAGUCGGGACCUAAGCCGAGGCGGAAUAGCGUAGGCGAUGGACAACAGGUUGAAAUUCCUGUACCGGUGUGAAUCGUUUGAUCGAUGGAGUGACACAGUAAGGUAGGUCAGCACGCGAUUGGAAGAGCGUGUUUAAGCAGGUAGGUUGAGCUAUAGGCAAAUCCGUAGCUCUAAAAGCUGAGAUGUGAUGACGAGUGACUAGCAAUAGUCGCGAAGUGAUUGAUCCUACACUGUCGAGAAAAGCUUCUAGGUAGAGACACAUCGCCCGUACCAAAACCGACACAGGUAGGCGGGGAGAGAAUCCUAAGGUGCGCGGGAAAACCCUCGUUAAGGAACUCGGCAAAAUGCCUCCGUAACUUCGGGAAAAGGAGGACUCAUGUAGUGUGAAGAGCAGAAGCGCUUGGAGCAUGAAUGAGUGGCACAAGAGAGGCGCAAGCGACUGUUUACCACAAACACAGGUGCCUGCUAAAGCGAAAGCUGAUGUAUAGGUGCUGACACCUGCCCGGUGCUGGAAGGUUAAGAGGAGGGGUUAGACUUCGGUCGAAGCUCUGAAUUGAAGCCCCAGUAAACGGCGGCCGUAACUAUAACGGUCCUAAGGUAGCGAAAUUCCUUGUCGGGUAAGUUCCGACCCGCACGA
rnacentral:rRNA from 1 species